rnacentral:rRNA from 1 species
AUGGGGCAGCGGCUGCCAUGCGGCACGGCGAGGCAUGCCGCCUGGCGCGGCUGCUCUUCCCCUCCAUCCGUCAAUGAAGACCAUGAGAUGUCCCCGGAAUCUAAGCACCAGCGGCACGCUCUUCGUUGGAGCGGCAGCAUGAGAAACCGAGAGGAGGCAGGGGCGGCGGCGGCGGUGGAGAUUGGAGAGAGGGAAAGGGAAACUAGAGGCGGCCAAGGGCUGGCGGAGAUAUUUUGCCAGUCCAUCUCUCUCCAACUGCAGAUGGAGGUGAGGCACGCACAUCGGAUGGCGGGGGAACGGUGGUACGACGGUCUUCAUAAAGGAAUUAGUCGAAAGAAUAACCCGGAAACUUCGACUUGGGCCAUCAAGCACUCCGAGUGGAUAAGUCUGUGGAAUCAAAGAGUGGCCCUAGUGGAGAAGGAAAGAAGACAACAUAGUGAUUCAGUAUAUGAAGAGCAUCUGAAGUGGCUUGCGAGACGUUACCGGUUGAAGCUAAAGCCCGGUUGGAACCGUUCGGAAUUGGAAGAGUUGGAUCGUGAGAGCGGGUAUAUGGACUUCAAUCUACAAACGAGAGACAACGAAGGGACACAACUUGACUAUGCACAACUACACGACCGAGUGGGCAUGGAGUUAUUGCAUUGUGUUAAUGAGGCUGGUGUAGCACUUGGUGAAGAUGAGGGAAGUGGAUCAUCUGAGAAAUCUCUUAGGAAAACAAUGAAGAGUUUCGUGAGUCGAUUCCACAAGAUGGCAGCUAUGCUCUCUUGCCAUGGAAGUAAAGCUGUCCUCACGGCUGGAGCUUCUACUAGCCGGGACAAUAGACGUCGUCAUCGUCUUGUCUUGCAACAGGAACAACAAGAGGAGCAACUGCAAGAAGAGCCAGAGCAAGAGGAGGCGCAGCAAGAUGAAGAGGAGUACGAUCAAGACGAAGAGGAGGUGCUUGGGAUGUCCCAAAUGGAUGAUGCGCCUGAGCCAUCACAGCCCACACAACGCACGCCGCGCAGCAAAAGAGGAAGGAAGAAGUGA